rnacentral:rRNA from 1 species
UAUCCAAAACGACUCUCGGCAACGGAUAUCUCGGCUCUCGCAUCGAUGAAGAACGUAGCGAAAUGCGAUACUUGGUGUGAAUUGCAGAAUCCCGUGAACCAUCGAGUCUUUGAACGCAAGUUGCGCCCCAAGCCGAUAGGCCGAGGGCACGUCUGCCUGGGUGUCACGC